GCUUUGAAGUGAGGCAUGGCUGGUGGUUCUCUGACACGUGAACAGUAUUUUCCUAUAUCCUUUAUCAUUAGUAACAAUGCAUACAUUAAGCCUGGGUUGAUUAGGCCCUGGUUUGUGUUGAAGUAGCUUAUGUGUUCUAUGGAAGUUCCACAUCAUUCAGUGUUGCAAACAAGUCAACAACAGAACCAUACAGGCCUCCACAGUGACUAAGGGUGUAGCAAUGGAAGCUGGGGUCAGAGCACAGGGUCAGCGAUGUUGCGGCACCCCUGGAGCACAGCCGGUUAAGGGCCUUGCCCAAGGGCCCCAAGAGUGGUAGGAGCAAUACCAGGAAUUGAACCGCUAACCUUGUCAUAAGUAACCCAGAGCCUUAACCACUAAGCUACCAUCUCUCCUGCUUUUAAUUAUGAGGUUAAUGAAGCCGUGCCCACCUCCUGUAGAUGACCUCACCAGGAGGCGGCCGUAUAAAGUGUUUCGUGUUUUGUGAUUAAAUUUGAAUUUACCUACGCCUGUUCCGACUUCGAGUUUGCCCUGUACUGUUUUUGCGUCUUGGAGAGCUGAUUGUAAAUACUUUCUGUACUAAAUCAGUUGUAAAUAUAUGUACAUAUGUGUGUUGUCAUGCUCACUGGUAGUAAGGCUGUGGCUGCCAUUUGUGUUGGGUGUGGGUUUCUUGCCUGUUUUUGAUGAGAUACUGACUUAUGCAGUCUCCUCUGACCAGUGGAUGUUGAAAUAUGUCUGAAAUAUGAAAUACUUGAACCCUGAGAAGUGUUUAUGUAAAUCAGUGGUUUCUGAGGCCAGUAAUUUUGAUAAACUAAUUGUUCACAACAGAGGUAGCUACUGGUCCUCCUUUCUAUGGACAGUCCUCAUGAGAGCCUUUUUAAUCAUAGUGGUUGAUGGUUUUGGAGAAUGUGCUUGGCAAUAUUUUUAAAGUUCUUAUGAUUUUUCGGAAUGACUAAACUUAAUUUCUUAAAGUGA